GAAUACACAGUGGGAAGUAAUGGAAUUUGUAUUAGUUAAUCAAACAUAUGUUGUUAUUUUCUUUCUUUUUUUAACUCUCACUUUUGCAUCUUUAAAUAGCACACUUUUUUAAUUUAUGGAAGACUUGUAUUCUUAGAAUCUUGUUUCAAAACAGUUCAUGCUAAAUCCAGCUAUGCCAUUCUUUGUAUUAUUUCUUGCCCCAAAAAGUAAAAAACUGCUUAGCAAUUAAGGCCUUCAUUUGUUACUUGACAGUUAAGUUUUCUGGUAUUUUACUCUAUAG
rnacentral:lncRNA from 1 species